AUUGAACGCUGGCGGCAGGCUUAACACAUGCAAGUCGAGCGGGGUGAUGGUGCUUGCACUAUCACUUAGCGGCGGACGGGUGAGUAAUGCUUAGGAAUCUGCCUAUUAGUGGGGGACAACAUCUCGAGAGGGAUGCUAAUACCGCAUACGUCCUACGGGAGAAAGCAGGGGAUCACUUGUGACCUUGCGCUAAUAGAUGAGCCUAAGUCGGAUUAGCUAGUUGGUGGGGUAAAGGCCUACCAAGGCGACGAUCUGUAGCGGGUCUGAGAGGAGGAUCCGCCACACUGGGACGGGGAAACGGCCCAGACUCCUACGGGAGGCAGCAGUGGGGAAUAUUGGACAAUGGGGGGAACCCUGAUCCAGCCAUGCCGCGUGUGUGAAGAAGGCCUUAUGGUUGUAAAGCACUUUAAGCGAGGAGGAGGCUCUUUUGGUUAAUACCCAAGAUGAGUGGACGUUACUCGCAGAAUAAGCACCGGCUAACUCUGUGCCAGCAGCCGCCGUAA
rnacentral:rRNA from 1 species